rnacentral:misc_RNA from 1 species
AAAAAAAAAAAAACCCAAAAACUAUGAGAUGAAAAGGAUAUUUCUAAUAGCAAAUACCCCCAAGAACAGAACUAGACCAACAGAAAAUAGUAUUAAAUCUGGAAAGAAAUAUUAGACAAGAAUAAAAUGGAACGAAAAGGAAGUACUGGGGUCGAGAAUAGAAAAAAUAAAUAAAUAAAUAAACAUAGUUGAAGAGCAACAAGUAAAAAAGAUACAUACCUUCUUUGUUAAUCCAGCCAUU